UAGGGCCUACGGGAGGCAGCAGUGGGGGAUAUUGCACAAUGGAGGAAACUCUGAUGCAGCGACGCCGCGUGAGGGAAGACGGUCUUCGGAUUGUAAACCUCUGUCUUUGGGGAAGAAAAUGACGGUACCCAAAGAGGAAGCUCCGGCUAACUACGUGCCAGCAGCCGCGGUAAUACGUAGGGAGCGAGCGUUGUCCGGAAUUACUGGGUGUAAAGGGAGCGUAGACGGCGCGGCAAGUCUGAAGUGAAAGGCAGGGGCUUAACCCCUGAACUGCUUUGGACACUGCCAUGCUAGAGUGCUGGUGG
rnacentral:rRNA from 1 species